UACAGGGAAUGAAGUUCUCCCUGGGAUUAUCCCGAACCGCUUAAUGAGCUGAUGACUUCUGU
rnacentral:ncRNA from 1 species